ACACGCCUAUUACAAUGCUCUAGAUUAUAGACGAACGUAGUAAACGUUACAUCAAAUCACGGGUUAAGAAUACACAAUGAUGAAAUUUUCAAAUUUUACGUCUUAUGCGAGUUGUUGGACUUGGACAUACACGAAUUCUACGGAGUACUAGAAAUAUUGUUCAUGUGACUUGCGAGUUAUGACCACUUCACCGAUUUGCCAUCCAACAUUUUUCCCCCCUGUAUAAUAUAUAAAAUG